CGGGGUAUAGCUCACUGGUAAAAAGCAUUCGACUGCAAAUCGACAGGUCCCCGGUUUAAACCCGGGUAUCCUCU